GGAAGUUCUCAGGUGACACACCCAGGAACCAGGCUCCCUCCUGUCUGGUUCUGAGUGCAUCAACUGAGAACCACA
rfam:Myotis davidii contig149128, whole genome shotgun sequence.